rnacentral:tRNA from 1 species
UCCUUGGUGGUCCAGUGGCUAAGACUCCAUGCUCCCAAAACAGAGGACCCAGGUUCGAUUCCUGGUCAGGGAG